GGCGGACGGGUGAGUAACGCGUGAGUAACCUGCCUUUCAGAGGGGGAUAACGUUCUGAAAAGAACGCUAAUACCGCAUAACAUCAAUUUAUCGCAUGAUAGGUUGAUCAAAGGAGCAAUCCGCUGGAAGAUGGACUCGCGUCCGAUUAGCCAGUUGGCGGGGUAACGGCCCACCAAAGCGACGAUCGGUAGCCGGACUGAGAGGUUGAACGGCCACAUUGGGACUGAGACACGGCCCAAACUCCUACGGGAGGCAGCAUG
rnacentral:rRNA from 1 species